rnacentral:lncRNA from 1 species
AACCCGCCCCCUCUUCCGAUGCGGGCUGCAUGGCUGGCAGUCAUGGCUUCCUCGCUGUGGUUCCAGCAAGGCCAGCAACUUCGGCUCUUGGGCCGAGGGAAGGCUGUGGAGGCUUUCUUUGGCAUCUGCAGAGACGGUGAGCAGCAGACCUGCUUAGAAGUAACGAAUGGAAGUCUGAAAUAGAAUAAAGAUGUAGGCUGUGGGCUUUGAAAAAGUCACAAGAAAGCCGUCAUCCAGGGAUGUAAGGAUCCUUGUGAUGAGAUAAAUGGUACAGCUUCAGUUUGAGGCCGAAAAGGAUACUCCAGAAAAAGACACUGGCUGCAGUGCUGUGGUGGCUGCCCUGGACCCGACGUGGAAUUUCUCUCGUGUCCACAGCGUGUGUAACAGGACCGACCUGCUUUACCUAAAGCAAGUGAAACCGUUCCUCUCGCGUUGUUUGUAACGUAAGCUGUUUUUAUCUUACGUGUCCGAAAGAAUCCCCGCAAGCCUGUGAUGGUUAGUUAUCCCUGUCUGAACAUCUCGACUGAGGGAAAACAAUCUGUUCUGAGGCUUAAGGGGCUGGCUCUGGGCUCUUAAAAGCAGUUCAGGCUUUACAAGGGAUCAGACGGAACGCACUCCAAAGGGAGUUGUGCUUAUGUACCCUGCCGAGACCCCAGUCCUGGGGCCCCAUCCCUCUGCCACUUGAAAACCAGUGGUGGGCUGCCUUGUCACCCUUUGGCUCUGAGGGCACAGGCUAUAAGAGGUGGCAGAAAUGGGCAAGUGGCCCAGAUUUGGCUUAUGCUCUUACUGUGGAAUGAAAGAGUGCUUGUCACAUAUUUCAAGAAAAUGAAUGCGCUCUUUGAGACAGACGGCAAUGGAAGAUGUAUGCCGGCUGUGGCAGUGAGCACACUUCAGGGCUAUCUGAUCUCUCGUCUUUUUACUGUAUCCUGA